UGUAAAUUCUCAUUUUGAGUUUUGCUCCACACUCAAGUGGAGGCCUGUGGAGCUGCUUUGGUAAAGGAUUACAGGUAUUUACAAGCUGUGAUAGGCAACCAAAUGAUUAUGCAACUGGAAAACUGAAAUGCUCGCAUUGACACUGACUGAUCCCAAAUGACAGCCUGCUCCCUAUACAGUUAACUGAGCUUGGCAGGAGGCGUGUGUGCUAUGCCACACUAGGAAGGCUGACCCUUGAGGUACAUACAUUCUCAUUCUGAGUCUCUCCCUCUCUCAACAGUUUUCUGAGGUUUGUGUAAACAGCAGGAUGUGACACUCUUCAAGGCGCAGAAUGUGACUACAACUGACACCUGUCACCAGCAUUUACUAUGAAUUGCUAUUUGUUGGCAUCUCGGCCACCCCCAGCAUUGCUCCCUGCAUGGAGGGGUUAGGGGGGCAGAGAGGGGUUUCUGAGAUGCCCAUUUUUACCCCCUCUAACAGCUGAGUUAGGGUGGCCUGAGGUGGGAAUGUCUGCUUCUGAACACGGUACUCUGCGUCCUUCAAAAGCAAUGUGCACAAUGUACAUUCACAGCCUAUGGCUAAAAAAUAAAGGAGAGGGAGAAAGAGAGGAGGGGGAGAGGAAGAUAGUGACUUGUGGAGGAGAGAAUAUUGCAAUUUUGUUAAAUACUGUUAAAUAAAUUGUCAAAUCGAACAUACGAAAAUGCUAUUGGUCUUUAUCAAUUUGCCCCAAGACAUUUUCCUAAAUAUAUCAUUUAAUGUUUUGCUUGACUGUGCAUAUUUUUUCUAAUAACUUUAUUAUGAACAGGUUGAUGUCCAAAUCAAAAUGCCACAGUGCUUUCUAUAUAAUGCAAUCACAUGAUCUAGUAAAAAUAAUAGACCUCUGUGGCUUGUACAGCAGUAAGAGAAGGUUUGAAAGAGAGAGAGAGAGAGAGAGAGAGAGAGAGAGAGAGAGAGAGAGAGAGAGAGAGAGAGAGAGAGAGAGAGACUUGUUUGGUUCAGGAAUCAUUUAACAACUUCCUCUGGAAAUUGAAAAAGGAAAUAGUUUGGGGAUGGAUUGCAGCAGGGGGGGUGAGCAGAGCCCAUAUGAAUACCAGAUGAAACGGACAUGCAGCUGACAGAGAGAGAGAGAGAGAGAGAGAGAGAGAGAGAGAGAGAGAGAGAGAGAGAGCGCGAGAGAGAGAGAGAGACCUUCAAGGGGUAAGUGGUCAGAAAAAGAGAGGGAGACAUGGAUGGAGGAAAGGGUGUUUAUGAGGUAAUUUACCAAACUUAUGUUUUCAACAUUUCCCUUUAACCUAAUUUUUUUUCCUUGUUCUUGACUAAUUACUUCCAUCCCUGGUAGAGACACAGUGGUAAAGUGUGAAAUUCAUUCUCUCUCUCUCUCUCUCUCUCUCUCUCUCUCUCUCUCUCUCUCGCUCUCGCUCUCUUUAUCACCCUGACACAAAACAGCUGGCAUAUUUGUUUUCUUUGCUACUGCCCAAAUUAUCCAUCAUCCAUUUUUAUUAAUGUCAUUGUCACAUUCAU